CCCUUAGAUGUUCUGGGCUGCACGCGCGCUACACUGAAGCUAUCAACACGUUUUCCCUCCCUGAGAAGGGCGGGUAACCUUUUGAAUCAGCUUCGUGGUAGGGACCGGGGCUUGCAAUUGUUCCCCGUGAAUCAGGAAUUCCUAGUAGACGCGAGUCAUAAGCUCGCAUCGAUUAAGUCCCUGCCCUUUGUACACACCGCCCGUCGCUACUACCGAUUGAACGUUUUAGUGAGGCAUUUGGACCGACGCAUCUCAGUUUAACCGCUGGUUUGUGUUGGAAAGACUUCCAAACUUGAGCGUUUAGAGGAAGUAAAAGUCGUAACA
rnacentral:rRNA from 1 species